rnacentral:sRNA from 1 species
AGCGGAGGAGGAGCGUGGCAUACGGCAUGUACUCGUUAGGAAACUGGACAACGAAGAAUUGGAAAAGGUGGAGAUCCAAAUAUUUCAUGGCACUCGGAAGAAAACAGUCAAUGAAAUUAAAACAUAAUUAUUAAAAAAGACACAACAGAAAGUUGAUCCCAUGAAAGUUGACCUCGAAGGUGUCAUGCAAGAGACUGUGCUCAUGAAAGAUGAUGAAAACAUCACAAACUAUGACCAAUUUCUUAAUUAUAAAAAAGCUCAUCUGCAAUUUAAGAACAGAGAUGGCUAGUGACUGUAGAAGGAACCAGUAAUUCAAGAAACCAGAUCUCAUUGGAUUUCAAUUUUUUCAUUGUUUGCAAUUAUAGUUUAACUUU